AUACGGAGGACGCGAGCGUUAUCCGGAUUCAUUGGGUUUAAAGGGUGCGCAGGCGGCCGUGCAAGUCAGCGGUGAAAGCCUGGGGCUCAACCCCGGAAGUGCCGUUGAUACUGCAUGGCUGGAAUGCGGUCGAGGCGGGCGGAACGUGGCGUGUAGCGGGGGAAUGCUGAGAUAAGCCACAGAACGCCGAUAGCGGAGGCAGCUCGCCAGGCCUGCAUUGACGCUCGGGCACGAAAGCGUGGGGAUCGAACAGGAUUAGAUGCCCUGGUAGUCCACGCCGUAAACGAUGGGCGCUCGUCGUCGGCGGCAGACAGUCGGCGGCCAAGCGAAAGCGAUAAGCGCCCCACCUGGGGAGUACGGUCGCAAGGCUGAAUCUCAAAUGAAUUGACGGGG
rnacentral:rRNA from 1 species